AUUGAACGCUGGCGGCAGGCCUAACACAUGCAAGUCGAACGGUAACAGGAAGCAGCUUGCUGCUUCGCUGACGAGUGGCGGACGGGUGAGUAAUGUCUGGGAAGCUGCCUGAUGGAGGGGGAUAACUACUGGAAACGGUAGCUAAUACCGCAUAAUGUCGCAAGACCAAAGAGGGGGACCUUCGGGCCUCUUGCCAUCGGAUGUGCCCAGAUGGGAUUAGCUUGUUGGUGGGGUAACGGCUCACCAAGGCGACGAUCCCUAGCUGGUCUGAGAGGAUGACCAGCCACACUGGAACUGAGACACGGUCCAGACUCCUACGGGAGGCAGCAGUGGGGAAUAUUGCACAAUGGGCGCAAGCCUGAUGCAGCCAUGCCGCGUGUAUGAAGAAGGCCUUCAGGUUGUAAAGUACUUUCAGCGGGGAGGAAGGGAGUAAAGUUAAUACCUUGGCUCAUUGACGUUACCCGCAGAAGAAGCACCGGCUAACUCCGUG
rnacentral:rRNA from 1 species